rnacentral:snRNA from 1 species
AGCUUUGCACAGUGACAGCAUCAUAGCCAAUGAGGUUUAUCUGAGGCGCGAUUAUUGCUAAUUGAAAAUUUUUCCUUUUCCCAC